ACUAUAACAAAAGACAUAUCUACCCUGAGGGCUGUCAGGACAAGUGAGAUGAUACAGAAUGGCAGUGACGUUGCACACUUCUACUCCAGAUAUACAAGAACAUUGUUUUCACCACUGAUAGACUUUGGUUUUGCUUCUGCCAGUUACCAGGGGCACCACAUACCAAGACCAAAUUCAGGU